ACACAGUGGUGUUAGAAAUUAUGAGUGUCUGGAAUGUGGAAAGAAAUUCACCCAAAAGUGUAGCCUCACCACACACACCCUGACACACAGUGGUGUUAGAAAUUAUGAGUGUCUGGAAUGUGGAAAUAAAUUCACCACAAAGUCUGAUCUCACCAGACACACUCUGACACACCGUGGUGUUAGAAAUUAUGAGUGUCUGGAAUGUGGAAAGAAAUUCACCACAAAGAGUAACCUCACCACACACACCCUGAGACACAGUGGUGUUAGAAAUUAUGAGUGUCUGGAAUGUGGAAAGAAAUUCACCACAAAGUCUGAUCUCACCACACACACCCUGACACACAGUGGUGUUAGAAAUUAUGAGUGUGAGGAGUGUGGCAAGAAAUUCUUCACCAUUAAUGCUCUCAACAGACACGCCUUCAGACACACUGGCUUGAGGGAGUUCAAGUGUGAUGUUUGUGGCAAGUGUUUCAAGACUAAGGGUGACAUUGCCAAGCACAUGAAGAUCCACUUUUGAGGUGGUGUGUUGUGUGGACCGGUGUGGCCACACCCGUGCCUGUGGGAGUGUGUGGUGGUGGUGGUGGUGGUGGUGGUGGUUUUUCUCUUUUCUUUCUUCUCUCGCGUUGCCUCACCCCGACCUUGGCCUGACCUUCCAGCCUUUGGUCCUCGGCACAGCCAGGUGAAGCACGCCUUCAGUGGGAACCGGUCUGUCUCCCGAGGGUGUCACCAAGGCUCUCCAUCUCCAGCAGGACGUGGCGGGGGUCAAGAUGGCAGGCAAGCAAGACGUUGGUGUGUGUUGGAUGCCUGCGUGACUCCAUGCUACGCUGGCCUGCCACACCACAGGAUACAUUGAUGAUAGUGUCACCUCAGCACACACUACACUGUUGUCAUGUGUGGCAGUGCCUGUAAGGACACCACACCCCUGUGGUCUGUUAUUGUAAGGAGUGUGUUUGUUGUAUACUGGGAUACAAGGUAGAAGGAAGCAGUGUA